UACUAUAUUACUUUUGAGUACAAACUAGAAACAACAUCAAAAUGAACCUGGAGUGCUUUUUACUUGAACUUUGUAUGUGAUGAUAUUAAGAUGCUGAAUAUUUCAAAGGCUGAAAGUAUUUAUAGCUUUUGACUUUUAACCAUAUUAUGUCCUUUGCCUUAUUUCUUGUCCUCAGCAAAUGUCAAGUGGGUGUUGCGUAGAACCGAGAGAGACCAUUCUCAGGAGAACAUCCGUCUUCAAUAAAUGGAACUCCAGAUUACACAAAGCUGCAGGCAUAAAAGAAGCUGCAAAAGCAAGUUCAGCCUGAAAAUGAAAUCAUUUUCUCUAGGAGAAAAAAAUAAUAAAAAAAGAACAUGAAAGUGAAACAACCACCUUUACCCUUACCUUGAGGACCUGAGAAAAGAUGCAGAUGAAAGUCUCUUCACUGUUUGGUGUCUGAACAGGAGAGCACCAGCUGCACUGGAGGUAUGGGCCCCAAAUACUCAUGUGCUAAAAGUGCCUGAAAAUGUUCCCAGGCUCUGGCUGCUGGACCAGGGAACAGACCACAUUUUUGCUUAUAAAUUCCCUCACUCUCUGAAACUAGGUGGCUGCCUGAAAAUGUGCCUGUUGGAAAUCAUCCCAGGAAUAUUUGAACUCCCAAG
rnacentral:lncRNA from 1 species